rnacentral:lncRNA from 1 species
UGUCCAUUGAGCUCUAUAUGUGGCCACAUGCCACACGAAAUGUGGUGUCUAUUCCCAAGCUGCUCUACUAGCUGGCUCUCAGAGUCGUCAGACACCUCAGUCCCUUUACCACCAGGAAGUACCGUUGGGUCAGGACUGAAGAACAAGGAAAAGCUGGAACCUACCACUGGUGUCUUCUGUAGCUGAGUGUCUCCACUUUGAACCGAGUCUCCUGAGCUUGAAACGCAGAAAUUUGGGCCAACAAAAUGGCCCAGCAAGUAAAGGCACAUGCCACCAAGCCUGUGUCCAACUCUAAGGACCUACAUGCUGGGAGGCGAGAACCUGCACCCAGUGUGUCCUCUGACCCGCACAUCAGUUCCC